rnacentral:rRNA from 1 species
CCUGACCUGGACUCUCGUUCAGUUCCCACCUUAUCUCCAUCUCCCUCACCCACAACACAGGUUGCGCCGCCGCCGUUGUCGCUUCCUUGGGCUUGUAGCUCCUCAUGGCACAGUCUUCAACCACCUUGUAGGAACGUUGAAUCCAUCUCCGCCUAGCCGCCGCUGUCCUCGUUCUCCUGUCUUUCUUGUGGCGUCGGCGAGCUCCAUCCCUAGAUCGGUGGCGCACUACGCCCAUCAAGAAUUCUACGCCAUAUCUGAAGUCGUUGGCGCGGCACGACCAGAUCGACCAUGAUCAAGCAGUUAGCCGGAGGGCGGAAGUUGGGGUUGUUUCAGUUGGGGGUAUGUGUUCUGACCUCGUCAGCUUUGGUUAGCACAUCAGAUAAGGAACGCGGGUUUACCCCCACACUGGAGGUUUGUGCUGCUAAUUAUCUGCACUUGAUGCUCUUAUUUAAGAUACUGGUCAGGUAAUCAUCCUGUAUACUGUCAUAACUUUGUAGAUAAAAUUAGGCCUUCCCAAUACUAACAAAGUUGUUGAUGGGUGAAUAAAUCAUUACGAUUAAUCUUUAAGUAUGGUUGUUAUUGCGACUAGAUUCUUCCCUGAUCUUCGUGCAGCAUGUCUCAGUAGCCCCAUCGUCCGUUAUUAGCUACAAACCGUUGUUUCCACUCAGGCAGAUUAAUGGAUGCACGUGUCACGUGUGAAACCGAUUGACAUUCCAAGUGAAGUUGACAGUGAAGGGAAUAGGAUGGAUGUGGUGGUCCACUUGUUGAUUUUGAUGGGAACAUUGUUUGGAAGAAUGACACACAUGAUCAGAAAAUUACUGGAUGUGUACAAACAAAUAAAAUUCGUGGAUAUUUGAGGGAUAUUUGGUUAUGGUGGUUCUCAUAUGAUCGUUUGGGGGAUUCUUGGAGGAUAGAUAUAUCCAUAAUUGUGAUAUUACUAUGAUAUUUGUAUACCGCAUGAUUGUGGACAAUGGUGCACCUGAAGAUGCACAUCCUGGUACAAGGUCGUCUAAGAAACUAGGGAUGUCCAUGGAUAUAUCAGUCCUAAUAUGUCUUAGAUUCAGCAUUUGGCUCGGACAUAUGGAACACAAGACCACUCCAACUAAGUCCAGAUGGUUUAUAAUUGGACUCCACCGAUCAUUACGCAACUCCGGAAAAGGCAUCUUUUGAAAAAGAAACAGUUGGUGAAGAUUUGCAGAAUAUUCGGCUGGCGAGAUGGUACACAGGCGAUCAUUUCAGCAAGGCCAUUGCAAACGAGAGUGAUCAUCGGCGUCUCAAUCAGGGUGUGGACAAGACCAUUUGAGUGGAGGACAAGAAGAAGUGCAAUUUUGUUCCUUAAUGGACGGGGUGGAUGGUUGACCUGCUGGGUGAUCAUCUCUUCUCUCUUCCAUCCUCUUGAUUUACUUACCCUUAUCACCUUAUCACGUGAGCUUUGUCUGAUGUUUACGUUUGCUGUUGUUUUCCGUUCUCCACUGGCGCACUGUUGUGCACCAUGGAAUGUGUCUGUCGUCUUAAUUCGGAACUUGGUAGCGUGUGAGCUCUGGCACUGGCAGGCCGGCUGGUUCAUCACUCUCCUCUGAUGCUGAUCAGCUUGUGGUUGUGGGAACGCCUGUGCUGUGUGUGGACAUGCAUGGUCCUUUGGAACCUAACCAUGCAUUAGGUAUAGUUUAAGAGCAUCUCCAACAGGCGCCCAAUAUCAGCCUCGUACCUAAAAAAAUCACAAGUUUAGCGCGCGCAGAGCUAAAAAUAACACUCCAGCGGACGCUGUAUAAUAGAGCACGCCGUAAAAAGUGUUCAGCGCGCACGAAGAAACUGGACCCGAAGCCGUAUAUUUGGGGCGUGAGCUCCAGCGCGCCGAACAUCCCAC